rnacentral:rRNA from 1 species
GACAGAGGGUGCAAACGUUGUUCGGAAUUACUGGGCGUAAAGCGCGUGUAGGCGGCUAUGCAAGUCGGAUGUGAAAGCCCUCGGCUCAACCGGGGAAGUGCACCCGAAACUGCAAAGCUAGAGUCUCGGAGAGGAUCGUGGAAUUCUCGGUGUAGAGGUGAAAUUCGUAGAUAUUCGGAAGAACACCAGUGGCGAAGGCGGCUCACUGGACUGGCAUUGACGCUGAGGUGCGAAAGCGUGGGGAGCAAACAGG